rnacentral:rRNA from 1 species
UCUAGAGUGCAGAGAGAGAGUGAUUCCUAGUGUAGCGGUGAAUGCGUAGAGAUUAGGAAGAACACCAGUGGCGAAGGCGACUCUCUGACUGUAACUGACGCUGAGGCUCGAAAGCGUGAGGAGCAAACAGGAUUAGAUACCCUGGUAGUCCACGCGUAAACGAUGAAUACUAGGUGUGGGGGUUUCAACACCUCCGUGCCGCCGCUAACGCAUUAAGUAUUCCGCCUGGGGAGUACGGUCGCAAGAUUAAAACUCAAAGGAAUUGACGGGGACCCGCACAAGUAGCGGAGCAUGUGGUUUAAUUCGAAGCAACGCGAAGAACCUUACCUACACUUGACAUCCCUUGCAUUACUCUUAAUCGAGGAAAUCCCUUCGGGGACAAGGUGACAGGUGGUGCAUGGUUGUCGUCAGCUCGUGUCGUGAGAUGUUGGGUUAAGUCCCGCAACGAGCGCAACCCUUGUCGUUAGUUACUACCAUUAAGUUGAGGACUCUAGCGAGACUGCCUGGGUUAACCAGGAGGAAGGUGGGGAUGACGUCAAAUCAUCAUGCCCCUUAUGUGUAGGGCUACACACGUGCUACAAUGGCUGGUACAGAGAGAUGCAAUACCGUGAGGUGGAGCCAAACUUUAAAACCAGUCUCAGUUCGGAUUGUAGGCUGAAACUCGCCUACAUGAAGCUGGAGUUACUAGUAAUCGCGAAUCAGAAUGUCGCGGUGAAUACGUUCCCGGGUCUUGUACACACCGCCCGUCACACCAUGAGAGUUGGCAAUACCCGAAGUCCGUGAGCUAACCGCAAGGAGGCAGCGGCCGAAGGUAGGGUCAGCGAUUGGGGUGAAGUCGUAACAAGGUAGCCGUAGGAGAACCUGCGGCUG